ensembl:lncRNA
UGAUCUUCUCACCUCAAAUGCUUUUAAUGUAAUCGGUUAAUAAAAUAUAAACCACAAUACAAACUCACCAUACAAAAAAAUAAAUUAAAACAAAAACGCUGUUAGGGAUGCUGAACAGCGAGAAUACAUCAUUUUUACUGGAUCGGUUUAAAAGAAAACGAGCAACACCUUGGUACACAGACACAGAAUGGAAAGACAGGUUUGCAUAGAUCAAUACCGAAGAACAGAAUCUAAAGAUGCUUGUACAUUAUUAUUAUUAUUAUUAUUAUUAUUUUAAAAGCUUCUGCGCUAAAACGUUAUAUAUUAGUCUGUAUAUAUAUAUAUACAUCUCAGAAUUUUAAAUAAAGUGCCAGGAAUGAAAAAAUAUUCUAGCACGUUUCAGUGGCGUAUGGCUGUGUUUCAUCUAUACGGCUAUUCAACGUACAAAGACACUCGUUCAUGCCCGUCGUACGUCGAUCAUGACAUACAGUCUGAACGUCAUUGGCCGUCAGCAGGUCACGUGACACGCGUGCGCGUCACUAAAUCUAGUGCACGGCCGCCCGAAAAUCCCCCCCCAAAAAAUCCCGCUCCACGUCUAACGUUACGUACUGACGUAAUGACAUUCAGACAUGAUGUUUACAAAGUUCAAAAGACACACAUUAUUUGUGAGUGGGGGGAAAAACAAAAAAAAACAAAAAAAAAACGCCAAUCUUUUACAUUCAUUGCCUAGACACAAAUAGAUCCCUUAACGUUAUUCGUUCUUCUUCAGCUUGCAUCUGUCCAGCACAGAACCUGAAUAUAUUACAUUCAUGUACUGACGUACAUCCAACUGGAGCCUCGAGUUGAAUCGUACACAACGUUUUAUAUAUGUAUAGAUAUAUAUUAUGUACAAAAAUAAAACACAAUCCACCACAGAGGAAAUAGAGUGUAUACACGCUACCCGUCAAAAGUUCGGACCUCAAUUUUUAAUUAUUUGAUUUUCUCUUUUAGAACAACGACGAAGACGUUAACAGUAUAACACGUUGUAUUAUGCGGCGAUCGAGCGGGCAACAUUUUAGCGUAAGGUUUGGUAAUAAACUAAAAGCAUUAUUGUAAUUUAGUAAUACAUUAAGCAUCGGUUAAAUCAGUCCAUGCAGGACUUUUUUUUGGGAUUGUUUCAGCCAAAAAAAAAAAAAAAAAGAAAUUCUUCCCAACAUUUUUUCUGCCCUUUCUGCGGAAAACUACUCGAAUUGGCGAAAUUGCAGUUGCACAAAAUUUCACAGUGAUGCUUGUUGGUAAACGAAGCCCUUUAGCAGUACCCACGACGCGUCUCGGCCCGAAUCCGCAGAAAACCAUUUGGAAAAAUCGUGAGCUCUUCGGAAUAUCACGGAGAUCUCUCGAAUUCCGCGUUCGUUUCUGCGAUCGCAAACUCCUGGAGAGAUCGCCAAAUUAAAGUGUACGAGUGUAGCUUGAUUUAUUAAUAAAUGACCUUUCUGACCUACACUCCAGCGUUAGCAUCGUAGCUUCCCACCGCCCUGCAAACGUCCUUAACAUCUGGAUAAAUAAAAAUAAAUAAAAAAAUAAAAAAAACCUAUGUACAACUUGCUUAGAAAUAGUUUACUACCAAACCGUAAAAUUAAAACCUCAACAAACUGAAAGUUUUAGUUUUAUUUUUAAUUCCUAGCAGCGUUCCGGCUGUAGCUUUGCCCGCUCGGCAUCUUCUCAACCUGCUUCGUGAAGGAACGUCCCCCUUUGUUUGGACUAAAAUCCACUUUUAAAACAAAAAUAAACGUACACACUUUUUACACACUUUAUAUAUUCCUCGUCACUGUUUACACUUGUCUUAGAAACUAAUUUCAACCAUAAACCUUUACCACACGAGUCAUAAGACGACGAAAAAUAUAUUCAUAUCCGAUACGUCCAAUCUUUUGACGGGUCGUGUAGGCGACUCUUCAGGAAAUGAACGCGUUUUUUUUUUACCCCGUAUGAACUCUGUGAGGUAACGUCGCACGUACGUUAUCUAUUAAAUAGUGUAUCUCACACACUUCCACACUAUUCAUAUACGUACUCAGUAGAUCAAUAGAUUCUCUGUCUAUUUUAUAGCCUAUUCAUGAAAAUAAUUUAUCCACAGGGUAACAGGAAGACACGCUUUGCGGCAUGGGAAAUGUAAAGGAGGACCUCCCUAGCUAAACUUUACGAAUAACAGAAAAGAAAGAAAACAAACAAACAAACAAAAAAAAACAACAACACAGAAGCAGCAAUUUUACACAAGUCUAAUACACACAUCUCAGAUCAAAACAGACGCGGUUUUACAAUCGAUAGCGCUCUUUUCAAAAUAACAAAACCAAAAUCCAGAACUGAAUACCCCGCGGCACGUCACGUCACGUCACGUCACGACCUUUCAAAACGUGCAUUUCCCAUUUCCAGCAUGACCUGAACUCCUCUAACCUCACCUACGCAUUUCAUUUCAUUCUCGCUAGCACAAAUAGCAUCGCAAGUAAAAAAAAAAAAAAAGUCCCAUUUUAAGCACUGAGGGUUUAUUGCACUUGCGUGUGUGUGGGUGUAUCGCAGAAAAUAUGGCUUCCGGUUCGGAAAACGCGCCGAUCAAUGGACGUGCACGCAAAUAGAGCGGUGUAUAAAUAUGUAUUAAAGUGCAAGGGAUGAGUUCUUAGUGUUAACCUUAAUGGAGGAAACUGAAUAGGAAACAUCGGGUGGCUGCAUGACGCAGUUAAUACCGCUAACUGCGGUUUAUCGUUUUCUUUUCACGCAAUGUUGCGUGUGGAAAUCGAACGGCCGCCGGGAGUCACUUCUCAACUUUAAAGCGAAACAAAGUAAAAAAAUAAGAAAAUAAGGAAACCGACAGAGCUCCGUUGGACUUGAACCGUGCGUGUACGUCAGAAAUAGACAUCGGGUGUAAAAGCCGAUAUCUCAAAAGUGCAUUAUGGGUAACAUGUACACUGUGCGUAAAUAUAACCAUAGAAUAUGAUAAAAAUAUAAUAGCGAUAAACUGAAUGAAUUGUGUGCGUGCUAGCCUUUUUGCAGGAUGUUCUUAAAUAAGCGACGUGCUAAAUUACAGCACGAAUAACAGAUUUCAAGUUUAGAGGAAAUCUUUGACGAGAAUUUCGUUAAAGAAAACCGAAACAAACGAGGAAGUGUGAAAUGAUAUUUGUGCCACUGAACUUUAAGAAAAGUCGGCAGGCUUCAGUUGACCUUCUGGGGGAAGCGUUAAAGGUUCUGCGUAGAACCCUACACCGAAGAGUUUCUCGAUCUCGAAAAAAAGGACUUUCUAGAAGUUCUAAUUGUAUAAUUACUCAACUUGAAACGGAAUUCAAUUCCUACCGGCACAAAAUCAUUCCAUAAGGGCGAUGAGGGCUGGAUUUCGUUUGGAUUCGUACAAGACCAAGCCGUGAGAAAACGUUCCGGAAGCUCUCCGAGCCCGUAGCGUUAACGUCGGGCUUUUAAAGUCGUAUCGAGUCGCGCGAAUCGCUCGGGAUUUUUGCGAGUCCGUGUUGUUAUCGUCCCUCGAAUCUACUCCCUCUUCGUUUCUUUUGGGUUUCUCAAUUAGGAGGCAGUGUGCUUUGGCUCUGAGGAGGAAUUUCAUGCAUUAUUAAAUAACCGAAAAGGAAAAACAUCCUGCAAGUGCUUGGCAUCCGCUUUGACAAUCGGGUACUGAAACUUUGCGCAACAAAAAUGAUCUUCGGUCAUACAGGUGAAGCUUUUUUCAGUCCAACGUGCUAGACUGCGAAAUCUGUAGAGACGCUAUCGAUUUUUUUAAAGAGUGCACGCGGUGUAUACGACCCCCCCGAGACGUGCGGUGAAGCGUGAAAGCUUCCUGAUUUAGCCCGGCGCUUCGUCGUCAAACUUCGGCGAUCGGGUAAUCGAGAUCGGAUCUGAUCUAAUCUCGUGUGGUCACCGAUUCUAUUCACCGUUCUGGUGAAAAAUACGAAGCAGACUACGUAAAUUCAACCUUGGCUCAGUUUUUAAAGGGGGGGGGGAGGCUUCUAAAUAAAUAAUGUGAAUGAAGCUCGACCAGAUUAAAGCCAAAUCUGCACAAAUGCUACAUUCCCUACAAUUAUAACAUCGACGACUUGACACGAUACGACGAUAUUCACAAGAAAUGAAAUUUACAAAAUGACACUCUGCAAGCAAACACACCCAGGACAGGAAUGAUUUAUCAUACGUCUCGUUUUGGUUCUAUUGCAUAAAAAUAAAAUCUGCUUCUUCUUCUUCUUCUUUUUUUUUUUCUUCUUCUUUACAUUAAACCUGAAAGAAUAGGCACUCCAGCUGUUCUGAAAGGUUGAAAGGUUCUCACAGUAUAAACGUGUUUGCUAUUAAACGCACGUGUUGAGUGAAAUCGGACGGGGCUCGGAAUGAGUUAGGUUUGAGAACGCGAGUAAACCCGUCACGUGAAGAAAGCAUCGAGACAAGGCGUGGCCGUUUCUACGGAAUAUCCGGAUUUUACGGAUCGGAUUUCCCUCGGGUAACGAUCCCGAUCGUUUAGAAAUUUUUUUUUUUUUUUUUUUGCUUAAAUACCUCUAUAUAAUGGUUGCACCCGAGCGCAAACGUUUGCACAAAAAUACAACAAAGCGUAACAAAAAAAGGGUCACGUUUUUUUUCACUAUAAAUCAAUAGCCCUAUUUGGACGGGAUUCAAUUUACAAUGGGAAUCGGGAGCAAUUCUAUAACCUCCAGGUGCGACUCUGUGAUUUUAAUUUCCAUGGCAGUGGUUUUUCUCCCUCAUCCAUUGAGGAAAAACUCGAUUUGACUGCUGCUAGUCGCUACGUUUAGUCACCUAGCGCACGGAUCGAUCGUAAAAACAC